AAAAAAAUAAUAAAAAAGUAUAUAUUUUUUGAUGCCCAUACUGCUCCAGCGGUACCACAAAUCAGGGUUAUUCCUUUUAUAUAUGUGGUUGUGUGUUCAGAAAAAGUAAAACUAAUAAUAUUAAAUUUACUGAUAUUUUAAAUAAUGUCUCUAAACACUGGGCGCAAGUGUGAUAUGAUUUGGUUAAAAUAUACAUGAGUUACUUCCAGAAAGAAAGGACUGUAGAGAAAUUUGUAAUGCAUGCAGAAAAGAAAUGGAAGGUCAAGUUCAAAGGAUGCAUAAAUGUCUAGAGAAAUGCAAACAAUCACAAGCCUUUGAAGUUAUUGAGUCAAUAGAAGAUCAACAACCUUUGGAAGGUAAUUCAUCAUUAACAUCACAUCAACAAAAAAAUGGAAAGGUCUCAGUCCACUUCAACUUCAGUUUGUAAAUGUUUGAAAAUAGAUAUAGUUUUUUAAACAAACAAGCAACAAAAAGAAAGAUGUUUGAUCUACAACUUGGUAUAUACAGUACAAACUCUAGAUUUAGAACAGUUAAACACAAAAAAGUUAAAAAGUUUAUCAAUAUGCUUCAUCCUGAUUACACUCUACCUAAUAGUACUCAAAUUGGAGGAGCAAUAUUUGAUAAGGUUUACACAGAAGAAAUUGAAAAAAGUUAUGUAUUAAAUGGGAAAAUUGUAGUAAUGACUUUAGAUGGAUGGAGUAAUGUGCACAACAAACCAAUAAUUGUUGCUGUUGUAAUUGCAGAUAAUGUUAACAUUUCAGCAAAUUAUACACAGAUGUAGAUGUUACAAUUAGUUCUUCUGGUCUUUCUUAUACUGGUGAAUAUCUUACACAAUUGGCAGGAGAAGAAAUAAAAUCUGUAACACAUAAAUUUGGAAGCACAGUAGAAAGUAUUGUGACUGACAAUGCAGCUAAUAUGAAAUCAAUGUGACAAGUAUUGUUAUCUGAAUGAGAUAUAAUAAUAACUUAUGGGUGUGUUGCUCAUAUACUAAAUCUUUUAGCAAUUGAUCUUAACAUUACAAAUAUGAGCAAGUGUGUUACUCAGAUAAUAAGAUAUUUACAAAAUAGUCAUCAGAGAUAUAAUAAUAACUUAUGGGUGUGUUGCUCAUAUACUAAAUAUUUUAGCAAUUGAUCUUAACAUUACAAAUAUGAGCAAGUGUGUUACUCAGAUAAUUAAAUAUUUACAAAAUAGUCAUCAAGCUGUAGCAAAUUAUAGAGAAAGUGGAGGAACAAAAUUACCACUUCUUGCUGAAACACAUUGCAGUUCUGUAUGUCAUUCAUUUAAAAAUAGAGCAUCAUUUUCACAAUGUUUAAAAAAUAAGUAGAGACAUGUAAUAUCCCACCAUCGGUAGAAAAGUGACAUAGAGAUAAAGCGAAAUGCAGAAUACUUGUUGAAAAUAUUAAAACCAAUUGGAGUUGCUCUUGAUAAGUUGCAAAGAGAUCAAACAAAAAUAAGUGACACUGUUGAAAUUUUUUUUGUUGAUAAACAUAGAGUUGAUAAACAUGUUACCAUUUAAUCAAUUAAAAAAAAAUAUUGGAAAAUAGAUAUCUUUAGACUCUCAGUGAUGCUCAUUUCUUUGCAAACAUGCUAGAUCCUAGAUAUUUUGGGUCUAUUCUUUCUGAUAAAAAAAAUGAAAAAUGAAGCUACAUUCACCUUUACAGAUAAAGAAUUUAAGAACUUGUAACCAAUUAUAUUCAAGUUAAAAGCCAGAUCUCCACCAUAACAGAAUAAUAGAAAUCUUUGACCUGCAACAUUAUCAUGGAUAUUGAAAGUUUAUUAAAUGCACCAGCUUCUAGUACUGAAAUCGAAGGAAUAUUUUUAACUUAUUGGCUUGUUCUUUCCAAGUUAAGAAGCAAGAUGGCAGUAGAAAAAGUGGCAAAGCUUGUUUUUAUAUACAGAUUAUUAAAUAAUGUAUUAAUUGAUGAAUUACAGCAGUAAUGUUAAUAAAAAAUAUAAUUUACUCAAUUAAAA